UAGCGUAGGGGGCAAGCGUUGUCCGGAUUUAUUGGGCGUAAAGAGCGUGUAGGCGGCUAGAUAGGUCCGUUGUGAAAACUCCGAGGCUCAACCGUCGAGACGUCGAUGGAAACCAUCUGGACUAGAGUCCGGAAGAGGGAGAGUGGGAAUUCCGUGGUUGUAGCGGUGAAAUGACGCAGAUAUCAGGAGGAACACCGGUGGCGAAGGCGGUGACCUCGGACCGACACUGACGCUGAGAGCGAAGACCAGGGAGGCGAAACGGG
rnacentral:rRNA from 1 species